AGCCCGUUAAUGGGUGAUAGCGUGCCUUUUGUAGAAUGAACCGGCGAGUUACGAUUUGUUGCAAGGUUAAGCGGAAAAAGCGGAGCCGUAGCGAAAGCGAGUCUGAAUAGGGCGCAUAAGUAACAGGUCGUAGACCCGAAACCAGGUGAUCUACCCAUGUCCAGGAUGAAGGUAAGGUAAUACUUACUGGAGGUCCGAACCCACGCACGUUGAAAAGUGCGGGGAUGAGGUGUGGGUAGCGGAGAAAUUCCAAUCGAACUUGGAGAUAGCUGGUUCUCUCCGAAAUAGCUUUAGGGCUAGCCUCGAGGUAAAGAGUCAUGGAGGUAGAGCACUGUUUGGACUAGGGGCCCUUCUCGGGUUACCGAAUUCAGAUAAAC
rnacentral:rRNA from 1 species